rnacentral:lncRNA from 1 species
AUCCAUGAGAAGACACAGUGUUCCAUCCAGAGGAUGUAGCAUCAAGGCGUCAUCUUAAAAGCAGAGAAAAGACUCUUACUUGACACCAGAUGCCAGUGCAUUGAUCUUGGACUUCCCAGCCUCUAGAACUAUUUAGUUCAGCCUGGUGUGGAUGCAUUUCAGAAUCUGUGAAAAAUGGAAUCACAAUGCUGUGACAGCAGCAUUUCUGCCUGUGGUAUCUGUGAAGCAGGUAAACAGCCCUGGGACAAAGAACAGACUACGGGUAUUGCCUUCUUAAUCAACAAUAAAGUAUUAGUUGGCUUCCAGGCAGACACCACUGACUUUCAAGAGAAAGGCACGGGAGUAAGGAAGUAAAGAAUUCAGGUGCUGCUUGAAAAUACAACAAACUGUCUUCAGAAUACUUUUAUGUGUUGUUGAAAGAAAGCACUGCAGCUAAUAUAGCUACAAAGGAGAAACAGUUAUUCUUAAAUGUCAUCUAUUUGCUGGACCUGAACAGGAAUUCACUAUGGAGCUCAUACAACUACCACCUUCAGCUAUUAAUCAAGGAGUCAUUCAACUGAGAAAGGGGAGAUUGAGAUGUUGAAUCAUUUCUCAUUCUGUGAAGUCUACCAGAAUAACCCAUAAAGCAAAUAUCAACCUAUUUCAAUUAGAAAAAUGAAAAAUACUGAUACAGCAGACGAAUUCUGGAACUAACACUUCCACAAAUCAUUGAUAAUCCAUUUUCCAACUUCUUCAAAUUCCAGACCAUCAACAAGCUAUUCAAAACAAUAAAUGUUAAUAGUUUUGGUGGAGUUAAGCAGCAGAAGUUAAAAGCAUUGUGGAAGACAGUAUGGUGAUUCCUCAAGGAUCUAGAAGCGGAAAUACCAUUUGACCCAGCAAUCCCAUUAUUGGAUGUACUGUUCCAUCUGGAAGUCAAGAUUGGUGCCACCUAAGUGGGUUCCUGCUGCAAGGAACUUAAGGACAUCCUCCUUCAUUUGCAGGACAUCAAGGGCUCCGGACAUUGUGAAAGUUUCCCUUUAAGUUACGACGGGAAUCCAGAACAACGCCGUAUGGACCCCUCUGCAGGUAGCAAGGAAAAGCGCCAGUAACUUUUAAAGGCUUGUUUUGCAUAUUAUUCAGGCCUAAAUCACGGUUCUCAUAAAUUGAUUAUCAUGUCCCUUUCAUCUGUCCAUUUAUGCUUCUAAAUGGUUCUUAAUGGUUCACUAUAUUUGAAGGCCAUAACCAUUUGCUGAUGAGUUACUAGUUUAAUUUGUCACUAUUUCUCCAAUACAUAUAUGUAAGUGCUUAUCGUCUUUUAAUCCUAGAUAUUCUUCUGGAAGUAAUAAUAAAAGUUGAAAGCUGGAAGGAAAA